CCUGAACCUCUGUCCCGUAGUCACAUUUUCGAACCGGAGCGUCAGUAGGCCUUCUUUACACAUGUCCAAACCACCGGAACCGAUUUUCUCUCAUCUUUCCUUCAAUUUUGGCUACUCCUACUUUGCCUCGGAUAUCCUCCUUCCCAAUCUUAUCCUUUCUCGUGUGCCCAUACAUCCCACGAAGCAUCCUCAUCUCCACUACACCCAUUUUGUGUACGUGUUGAUGCUUCACCGCCCAACAUUCUGUGCCAUACAACAUCGCUGGCCUUAUUGCCGUCCUAUAAAAUUUUCCCUUGAGCUUCAGUGGCCUACGACGGUCACACAACACGCCGGAUGCACUCUUACACUUCAUCCAUCCAGCUUGUAUUCUAUGGUUGAGAUCUCCAUCUAAUUCUCCGUUCUCUUGCAAGAUAGAUCCUAGGUAGCGAAAACGGUCACUUUUUGUGAUCUUCGCUAGAUUGCUCCGGUCAUUAGUGUGGAUAAGUAUAUAAAAUGGAUAGAGAUAGGAAAGCAAACACAAGAUGUACGUGGUUCACCCAGAUUGGCUACGUCCACGGAAUAGAGGAGUUCUCAUUAAUUGUGAAGGGUUUACACAAGUACAUAGGUUCAAGCUCUCCUUUAGUGAGUACAAGUGAAUGAUUUAGUACAAAUGACAUUAGGAAAUAUUGUGGGAGAAUGAUCUCGUAACCACGAAACUUCUAAGUACCGGAGUGUGGUAUCGUCUUGACUUGCCUUAUCUGUCUCAUAGGUAGAUGUGGCAUCUUCUCUAGAAGUACUCUUCCUCCAUCCAGGGGUGGUAUCUGUAACUGGUGGAGAUGCACAAGGUAAUGUAUCAAUUUCACUUGAAGCUUACUUGUAGUUUCAGGCUUGGUUAAGCGCGAUACAAACCAUGUAGUAGGAGUCCCCCAAGUCGCCGGGCUAGGGGAUCUGCUGAAAGAGGUGACAGACAAGGUAAGCAAUCAGAGCUCCGGCUGAUUGUUCACAUUCUCCCUAUCUUGCAGGCAGCAUGAAGGAUAAAGAGAAGAAAAAUAAGAAGAGAUGAUGAUAUGGGAUACUUUUGCUUUUGAAGAAGUAACUUUCCACAGGCUUAUUCUUGAACAGGGCUGGAGGUUUUCUGGUUUCCUCCAGAGUAUAAGGCCGACUGAAGAAUUUGAGGGUCAAAACAAGUCCAUCAAAUCUAGAGUACGUUCGACCCUGCUGAUAUGGGAUACUUUUGCUUUUGACAGAAGUAGUGAUGAUGUAUCGGCACGUGUGCUGUUACGCUUGUCUCCACAUGCUUCCUUGUAUCCUUUUCACUUGCCCUAUCUGUUCCUCAGGCAUAUACGGUAUCUUCCCUGGAAACAUAAGAUGUUGAAGAUGAGUACUCGAGAGCAAUGCCAGGUAAAGUAAUCAGGUAGGGGGUUCCCAGGCAGUCAGUUCCUAGCUGGAAGCUUGAUUCCAAGUGCUGACUGAUUGCUUCUCUUUCUCCUUGUCUUGCAGGUAAGAACAAGACCAAAGGAAAAGACAGGGAAAAAGCAUGAUAUGGGAUACUCUUGCUUUUAACCCUGAUGAUAUGAGAUAUUCUUGCUCUAGUAUAGCUUGUUUACAGAGGUAUUAUCCGGGGGAAAGAAAAAAGCUGAAUAUUUCGAAAGGCUUCGUUGGGAGUGCCCUCUCAGAUAAGAGAAAGGGUUGAGCAUUUUUUGCAGGUCUGCCUGUCCGUUAGGGAUGAAGGUCGACAUAUAUAGGAGUCUCCCUAACAUCAAGUAAUAAUGCUAUUCCUUUACCCUGCUUGGUCAUAGCACGGUAGCUGUCAGCUUCACAUGUUUUAACUCUGUCAGAGCACUUUGAAAAAGUGGUCUGUGGAUCUGGAAAAGCUGAUGUUGCGUGUGAAGAUUACAGACAAGCUUUAUCCAAGGAGAUCCAGCUCUUGAAGUUGGGAAAGUGGUGCCUCUUCGGUUUUCGAACAAGCAAUCCUGUCGGGGGUCUGGCUCUCGAGAUUCGGAGAACGAUGCCUCUUCAAUUUUUGAGAAAGCAAUCCUGCUGGGGGUCUGGCUCUCGAGANAAGUCUUUUCUUAGGGUCUCUUCCAAAGUUUUCCUAGGUCUUCCUCUACCCCUUCGGCCCUGAACCUCUGUCCCGUAGUCACAUUUUCGAACCGGAGCGUCAGUAGGCCUUCUUUUACACAUGUCCAAACCACCGGAACCGAUUUUCUCUCAUCUUUCCUUCAAUUUUGGCUACUCCUACUUUGCCUCGGAUAUCCUCCUUCCCAAUCUUAUCCUUUCUCGUGUGCCCAUACAUCCCACGAAGCAUCCUCAUCUCCACUACACCCAUUUUGUGUACGUGUUGAUGCUUCACCGCCCAACAUUCUGUGCCAUACAACAUCGCUGGCCUUAUUGCCGUCCUAUAAAAUUUUCCCUUGAGCUUCAGUGGCCUACGACGGUCACACACAACACGCCGGAUGCACUCUUACACUUCAUCCAUCCAGCUUGUAUUCUAUGGUUGAGAUCUCCAUCUAAUUCUCCGUUCUCUUGCAAGAUAGAUCCUAGGUAGCGAAAACGGUCACUUUUUGUGAUCUUCGCUAGAUUGCUCCGGUCAUUAG
rnacentral:lncRNA from 1 species